rnacentral:pre_miRNA from 1 species
AAUAAAUCGAUCUUUCAUUUUUUAUCUAUAAUUUUUAACUAUUCGUCUUAUUUAAAAAAUUAUAAUUACUAUUUUUGUUUAUAUUGAAUGAUAAAUUAUGAAUAGUACUUUAUGUGUGACUAAUUUAUUUUAAAUUUCUUAAAAAAAUUUUAAAUAAGACCAAUGAUCAAACGAUGGACACGGAAAUUAAAAAAUUAUCUUAUU